rnacentral:rRNA from 1 species
ACUCAAAUGAAUAGACGGGGGCCCGCACAAGCGGUGGAUCAUGUGGUUUAAUUCGAAGCAACGCGAAGAACCUUACCUGGGUUUGACAUCCUCUGACAACCGUAGAGAUACGGCUUUCGUAGCAAUACGACAGAGAGACAGGUGCUGCAUGGCUGUCGUCAGCUCGUGUGGUGACAUGUUGGGUUAAGUCCCGCAACGAGCGCAACCCCUAUUGUUAGUUGCCAGCAUUAAGUUGGGCACUCUAACGAGACUGCCGUGGUUAACACGGAGGAAGGUGGGGAUGACGUCAAGUCCUCAUGGCCCUUAUGCCCAGGGCGACACACGUGAUACAAUGGACGAUACAGAGGGCUGCGAAGCCGCAAGGUGAAGCUAAUCUCAAAAAGUCGUUCUCAGUUCGGAUUGGAGUCUGCAAUUCGACUCCAUGAAGGCGGAAUCGCUAGUAAUCGCGGAUCAGCACGCCGCGGUGAAUACGUUCCCGGGCCUUGUACACACCGCCCGU